rnacentral:rRNA from 1 species
AACGAACGCUGGCGGCAUGCCUAACACAUGCAAGUCGAACGAAGGCUUCGGCCUUAGUGGCGCACGGGUGAGUAACGCGUGGGAAACUGCCUAUUGGUGGGGAAUAACGACGGGAAACUGUCGCUAAUACCGCAUAAGCCCUUCGGGGGAAAGAUUUAUCGCCGAUAGAUGUGCCCGCGUCCGAUUAGCUAGUUGGUGAGGUAAUGGCUCACCAAGGCGACGAUCGGUAGCUGGUCUGAGAGGAUGAUCAGCCACACUGGGACUGAGACACGGCCCAGACUCCUACGGGAGGCAGCAGUGGGGAAUAUUGGACAAUGGGCGAAAGCCUGAUCCAGCAAUGCCGCGUGAGUGAUGAAGGCCUUAGGGUUGUAAAGCUCUUUCGGGUGGGACGAUGAUGACGGUACCACCAGAAGAAGCCCCGGCUAACUUCGUGCCAGCCGCCGCCGUAA